UAGUUCACAAGUUGCUGCUAAGGUUACUGUCAAUGAGAAUGCCAUCAUUUCUUCUACUCUUGGCAGUAGACAAAACACACCCUCUAUGGUCAACGAAGCAAAUUUCAACAAAAUAUGAGUAUUGAGAAAAUAAUACAGUACGUCAGAAGGUUACAUGUUACUUUCGAGCAAUGUAUCAAUAUAAAGCUCAAGAGGAGGAG
rnacentral:lncRNA from 1 species